rnacentral:rRNA from 1 species
CAAAAACAUCGCCUUCUUUGCUCCCACAAAAAAUAAGAGGUCCCGCCCUGCCCUGUGAUAAUAUUUUUAACGGCCCGCGGUAUUUUUGACCGUGCGAAGGUAGCGUAAUCACUUGUCUUUUAAUUGAAGACCCGUAUGAAAGGCACCACGAGAGUUUAUCUGUCUCUGUUUUCUAAUCAAUGAAAUUGAUCUCCUCGUGCAGAAACGAGAAUAAUAACAUAAGACGAGAAGACCCUAUGGAGCUUUAAACACUUAAGUUAAUUAUUCCUUGACAAUACCUCUAAGGACAUAAAACAUAAUAUAAAUAAGCUUAACUUAACUUGUUUUCGGUUGGGGCGACCAAGGGGAAAAACAAAACCCCCUUAUCGAUUGAGUAUUACAUAUACUUAAAAACUAGAAUAAACAGUUCUAGUUAAUAGAACAUCUAUCGAACAAUGACCCAGGGUACAAACCCUGAUCAAUGAACCAAGUUACCCUAGGGAUAACAGCGCAAUCCUUUCUUAGAGUUCCCAUCGCCGAAAGGGUUUACGACCUCGAUGUUGGAUCCAGGACAUCCUAAUGGGUGCAACCGCUAUUUAAGGGUUCGUUUGGUUCAACGAUUAA